AGCUGCAGCUGUGGGGAGGCAGUGCCACUGGCCCAGCACAGCUGAGGCUGUUUGGUGGGAAGAAGGUGCUGGAAGGGGCCGGGUCAGUUGGUGUGGGAGCCAUUUCAGGAGCAGCAGAGAAGGCAUGCUUGAACUUAACAGAGGAAGGGGAGAAAUCUCACAGCUGUGCAGAGGACCUGCUGUAGCCUGGUUUCAUUUGGGAAUUGAAAGAACUGUUAAAUUGCUGGCUCUUUGUUACAUUUUCAGGAUAUGAAGAGAAAUAUUACUUUUGGCAGUAGGAAACGUUUAUGCACUGAGUCGGCUAGGCAAGCCAUUCCUGCCUGUGAUGUUGACAGCAAAACUGCUGAAUGUGGAUUGUCUGGGAUUUGAUCACCUUACAGAAAACUAUGUACAGGAAAAUACUUCACGAUUUUUGUCCUAGUUCAUAAUAUUUACAGCUUACAUACUUAAAAAUUACUUACCUGCAAAGUGAAAAAGUGACAUUGUCAUACUCAACCCUCAUCUAAAAAUAAAGCAUACAGUGUGGAAGGGACAAAUAUGAAAGCCCACUGACAGCCACAGCAGCAAUUCAUUCAUGGUGUAUAAGCCCAGAGGAUUGUGAGUUGAACAUGAAGGUUGCUCGCAAAGUCUUUAAUACUUGCCGCCACAAGAAUUGAGUUACCAAGCUAAAUGUUCCUUUGAUCAAAUUCAGUGCAAUAUGACUGCUUCCACAACCAAUAGCUGCAAUUACACAAAUGCUAUAGGCCCAAUCUUCUCUGCAGCCUUCCUUAUUACACCAAGUCUUCUAAUUUCCCAAAGCAUGGCAAGGCACAGUCAUUGCAUUUCGUGCAGGAAUCCUUCAUUUUUGUACAGUGCUAGCUGCUGAAAAUACAGGCACUGUGUCUUUCAACAGGGACUCAACUCAGGAAGUAGCCUGCAAAGCACGAGCAUUUGUUCUGUAUGCUGAAUUGAUCACUUUUAGCCUUUGUAUGGCCGCAUAUACCAGUGCAAAGUGAAGCAUUAUAAAGGCUCUCUAAACAUUAAAGCUCCUGGGCCUUUAUCUGUUCCAGUUACAGGUGAGGACAUGUGUACUGAUCCCACAGUGUUUACUGUUUAGUCUUUUAAUAUCUUACAGUUCCCCUGUUCUAGAGUGAUUGUACCCUUAGCAGGUUUUCAUGUUAAAGGUAUUUUGCAGUUAGGCCAUAAACAUUUUUUUUUAUAAUGCUUGCCUAAAGAUUUGACUGCUAAUAUACAGAAGGAUGUACUUGUAGUUCUAUACUUGAGUCUGACUGCUGAAGAUUUUAACUAGUUUGGUCUGAUUCAGUCUAUUUCUAAUGAAAUGAAAAGCUUUGAGUUGUGAAUGUUUGACACCUACUUAAUGAAUUAUGAAGUAUUACUUUAGCAGUGCAGUGAGUAUGUGCACGUCAUCUUUGACAACCAAGGUGCCAAAUAAAAGCCAG